UUACAACUUUCAACAACGGAUCUCUUGGUUCUGGCAUCGAUGAAGAACGCAGCGAAAUGCGAUAAGUAGUGUGAAUUGCAGAAUUCAGUGAAUCAUCGAAUCUUUGAACGCACAUUGCGCCCCUUGGUAUUNCCAUGGGGCAUGCCUGUUCGAGCGUCAUUU
rnacentral:rRNA from 1 species